rnacentral:rRNA from 1 species
CCUACGGGAGGUAGCAGUGGGGAAUAUUGCACAAUGGGGGAAACCCUGAUGCAGCGACGCCGCGUGAAGGACGAAGUAUUUCGGUACGUAAACUUCUAUCAGCAGGGAAGAAAAUGACGGUACCUGACCAAGAAGACCCGGCUAAAUAAGUGACAGCAGCCGAGGUAAUACGCAGGGGGCAAGCGUUACCCGGAUUUACGGGGUGUAAAGGGAGCGUAGGCGGGCAUGCAAGUCUGAUGUGAAAACCCGGGGCACAACGCCGGGACUGCAUUGGAAACUGGGUGGCUGGAGUGUCGGAGAGGCAAGAGGAAUGCCUAGUGUAGCGGUGAAAUGCGUAGAUAUUAGGAGGAACACCAGUUGCGAAGGCGGCUUGCUGGACGACGACUGACGUUGAGGCUCGAAAGCGUGGGGAGCAAACAGGAUUAGAUACCCCAGUAGUC